CGCCCCCGCCACGGGCGGGUUCCCCUCGGCUCAGGCCCAAGCUCUCCCUCAGCGCUGCCAGCCGUCGGCCCCGGCGGAGCCGGCGUCCACAGACAGCCGUGAUUACGCUUCCUGACCACCGGGGCGCCCGCCUGGGAUAAGUACAGUGUUUUAAAUGAUGCCCUUGAGCUGCCUAUAAACUGCCUACAAAUGACAGCUGGAGUGAAAAAUGACCUGUUUUGGGAUGAGAAUCUGUUGCAAGAGGAACAUACAGUUUGCAGAAUGACGCACAAGGAGUUUUUUGGUACCUGUUGAAAACCUGUGCUCUAUAAAUGGAACAACAAAGCCUGGAUGUCAGCACAUCUGUUUACAACAUAGUUUACUGAAUAUUCGAAGCCCACUGUUGAGAUCUAUGGCUCAGAAGAAAAGAUUCCUUUCAAAAUAUUGACAAUGUUCAUUGACAAUGCACCUGGUCACCAAGAGCUCUAAUGGAGAUAUACAAUGAGAUUAAUGCUGUUUUCAUGCCUGCUAACACAACAUCCACUCUGCAGCCCAUGGAUCAAGGAGUAAUUUCAACUUUCAAACCUUAUUAUUUAAGGAAUACAUUUCAUAAGGCUAUAGCUGCCAUCGAUAGUAAUUCCUCUGAUGCAUCUGGGCAAAGUCAAUUGAAAACCUUCUGGAAAGUAGUCACCAUUCUAGAUGCCACUAAGAACAUUCAUGAUUCAUGGGAAGAGGUCAAAAUAUCAACAUUAACGGGAAUUUGGAAGAAGUUGAUUCCAACCCUCAUGGAUGACUGAGGGGAUCAAGACUUCAGUGGACAAAGUAACUGCAGAUGUGGUGGAAAUAGGAAGAGAACUAGAAUUAGAAGUGGAGCCUGAAGAUGUGAUGAAUUGCUGCAAUCUCAUAAUAAAACUUUCAUGGGUGAGGAGUUGCUCCUUAUGGAUGAGCAAAGAAAAUGGUUUCUUGAGAUGGAAUCUACUCCUGGUGAAGAUGCUAUGAAGAUUGUUGAAAUGACAAGAAAGGAUUUAGAACAUUACAUAAACUUAGUUGAUAAAGCAGUGGCAGAGUUUGAGAGGAUUGACUACAAUUUUGAAAGAAGUUCUACUGCAGGUAAAAUGCUAUCAAACAGCAUUGCCUGCUACGGAGAAGUCACUCGUGAAAGAAAGAAUCAAUUGAUGUGGCACACUUCAUUGUUCAUUACUGCCUUAUUUUAAGCGAUGGCUACAGCCGCCCCAACCUUUCAGCAGCAACCACCCUGAUCAGUCAGCAGCCAAGAACAUUGAGGCAGGACCCUUCACCAGCAGAAAAGAUUACAUACAACUCACUGAGGCCUCAGAUGAUGGUUAGCAUUUUUCAGCAAUAAAGUUUUGGGUUUUUUUCUCUGCUGCACCCCGCAGCAUGUGGGAAUUUUAUGUCCCCCGACCAGGGAUCGAACGCGCACCCCCUGCAUUGGCAGCCCGGAGUCGUAACCACUGGACUGCCAGGGAAGUCCCGGCAAUAAAGUAUAUUUAAAUUAAGACUUACUUCACUCUGUAUGACAGUUUCUAGAUCCAUCCACGUCUCAACAAAUGACCCAAUUUCGCUCCUUUUUAUGGCUGAGUAAUAUUCCAUUGUAUAUAUGUACAACAUCUUCUUUACCCAUUCAUCUGUCGAUGGGCAUUUAGGUUGCUUCCAUGACCUGGCUAUUGUAAGUAGUGCUGUAAUGAAUAUUGGGGUGCAUGUGUCUUUUUGAAUUGUGGUUUUCUCUGAGUAUAUGCCCAGUAGUGGGAUUGCUGGGUCAUAUGGUAAUUCUAUUUUUAGUUUUUUAAGGAACCUCCAUACUGUUCUCCAUAAUGGCUGUAUCAGUUUACAUUCCCACCAACAGUUCAAGAGGGUUCCUUUUUCUCCACACCCUCUCCAGCAUUUGUUGUUUGUAGAUUUUCUGAUGAUGCCCGUUCUAA